GUUUAGGGGUAAACCUGAGAAACCCGAAAGGUCGAAGGGAGAAAUUCAUUCGCGUUUCGUUGCAGGCGUCGCGCGGUCGCGUGACGGGAAGCGUUCGCGCUUUCCGCGCCCUCCGUGCGUUCGAACCGGCGACGAACGCGUGCACUUUUCUCCUGGUAGGACGUCGCGAUCCGUUGGGUGUCGGUCUACGGCUCGCGGUGGAGCCCGUUCGUACCACGUGUGCGAGCGGACCCGCGUGUCCCGGCUGACUCGCUCGACGGUAUACGGAAAGGUUGAAGGCCGCUCUCGGAGCGUUCGACUCGUGGCAAGCGCUCCAGAUGCGUCGGCGAUCGGACCUAGUGCCGAUUCUGACCUCUGGUGACUGUUGGCUACGAAUGUCUCGAACAGACCUAUCAGACCGAUCUGCGACGCUAUAGCUUUGGGUACUUUCAGGACCCGUCUUGAAACACGGACCAAGGAGUCUAGCAUGUGCGCGAGUCAUUGGGAAUCACUAAACCUAAAGGCGCAAUGAAAGUAAAGGUCUUCCUCGCGGAGACUGAGGGAGGACGGGCGGUUUACCCUUAAAAGUGGCCGCUCCGCACUCCCGGGGCGUCUCGUUCUCAUUGCGAGAAGAGGCGCACCAUGAGCGUACACGCUGGGACCCGAAAGAUGGUGAACUAUGCCUGGUCAGGACGAAGUCAGGGGAAACCCUGAUGGAGGUCCGUAGCGAUUCUGACGUGCAAAUCGAUCGUCGGAACUGGGUAUAGGGGCGAAAGACUAAUCGAACCAUC
rnacentral:rRNA from 1 species